UCAGGACGAACGCUGGCGGCGUGCUUCAUACAUGCAAGUCGAACGAGAAGCUGACUUCGGUCAGUGGAAAGUGGCGGACGGGUGAGUAAAAUGUAGAGAAUCUGCCCUUUAGCGGGGGACAACAGUUGGAAACGACUGCUAAUACCCCAUAUGAGCGUAGCUGAGAUGCUAUUCUUGAAAACUCCGGUGCUAGAGGAUGAGUCUGCAUCUGAUUAGCUAGUAGGCGGUGUAAUGGACCACCUAGGCGACGAUCAGUAGCUGGUUUGAGAGGAUGAUCAGCCACAAUGGGACUGAGACACGGCCCAUACUCCUACGGGAGGCAGCAGUAGGGAAUUUUGCGCAAUGGGGGAAACCCUGACGCCAGCAACGCCGCGUGAUUGAAGAAGCCCUUCGGGGUGUAAAGAUCUGUCAGUGGGGACGAAACUUGACGGUACCCACAGAGGAAGCAUCGGCUAACUCCGUGCCAGCCGCGGC
rnacentral:rRNA from 1 species